CUGGAAUUUUCCGACCGAUAUAGUUGCCUUGAACCUCAGCGCUGCAUUGGAGCAAUAGACUCCGAUAAAUAUCAGACACGUGUCUCGCACGGUGUUACUCAAGAAUCACGAUUGACGUUAUCGGCACACAGCUGAUUACAUCUCAGUCUGGCUGUCUCGUCGUGACUAGGAAGUUGGUCCUGCACGAGCGAGUGCACGGACAUGUGACAUGUCGUCUGUCUUCUGCGACGCUUUGUGUUUGCGCGCUGUGGUACCGCUCCAGUGACAUGGCCAUAUCGCCAUCUGCUCAAAAAAGAAGAAGAAAAGGAAAGAAGGAAGAAAAGCAAUUUAUGUCCUGUUACUAUGGAACCUGUACGUACCCCCCGAAGCUCACGCGAUGUGGCAAACUUCAUUACCAUUGUUUGAGUUUGGUUUCAGGUUCUUUGCCUCACUUAAACGAAGCCGGCAACUGAUGACAGGGGUAAUCCGACCGGAAGCACCCAAACCACCGGCGGAAAUGCUGCCAUUUGGAGCAGUCAGACUUCCGGGCACCAUUCUGGAAACUCAUUCCGCUUUUCAAAGACGCUGCUUCUUGUAUUGUAAAGAAAACUAUCGAAGCAAAUCAUGUGUGCAGACGUAUUUUUCAAAGGAAGCAAUUCUAAAUGUGCCAGAUAUCUGUUGCACGCUGUCACUGUAGAAGAAUUACAAUCGUUG